GGUCAUCUUGAAGAACCCAGCUGGUGCCAUUUUGACAAUUGGAGACCUCGAUGAAACCAUCUACAAAGGGAAGAAGAACGUGGUGAAUGGGUGGAACAAAUUCUACCUUCCAGAUAUCGUAAGCAUGCAGUUCUUGGGCGUGGUGAUGGGAACUUCGUGCCCAGAGGACCAUCUGGUUCUGAUGACCUGUGAGGACCAGAAGGUGUACGCCUACGAUGGAGAGGAGCUGCAUUUGGUGGCUUCAAGCUGGGAGCAGCUAUUUGACGAGGGAAUCCAGUAUCCAGCAGACAAGUCGUACUACAAAGGAGAAGCCUUCCCAGACACGGACUGGGAUGAAGUGAGGAAGGGCGAAGUGGGGAGAAGAUUGGACCAAGAGCAUCUCAAACUGGUGACCGCAAAUAAGUCAGAAUUCCUGAAGAAUCUCCGAUCCAUCAAACUCAAAAAAGAUGGUUCCUGAGAAGAACAGGGGGCUGAGGUCCAUCAAGACGAAGACCUCCCGUUUUUUAUCCCUUCCCGGGUCUCCCACUGACUGACUCUCACUCUCUACAUGCACAUACGCUUUGUCGCGUUCACUUGUCACUUUGGUGGACUUUAUCUUUCUUUUUUUGACUUACUAACCCAUAGCAUAUACUGUAUAUUAUUAUAUUUUUAUCUUAUUCCUGCACUACGUUGUUUGUUGUCCAUUGCCGUACUGUCUGCUGUCAUGCACCA